rnacentral:lncRNA from 1 species
CAAUGUAUUACCCUAACACGUAAAUGAUCUUAAAAAUGACAGUUUCAGCAUUUUUUGGGUAAAGCUUACAUGAAAUGCAUUCAAAACCCUAUGGUACUGAAUUGAUAUCUAAAUCUUCCAACUUUUGAGGAUCAUAAAUAAAGUGCAUGGAUCAUAACAUUCUAUAGACUAUACAUCCUAUCCAUGAACAUUUCCAGAAAUUUAUCAAUGAAAAAUAUGCUCAGACAUUCAAGUUACAAAAUUAUGUUAUUCUUAUCAAGAAAAAGCAUAACGUGUGCAAGCUGCAGGAAUCGAAUAUGUGUUCUAUAA